rnacentral:rRNA from 1 species
UACGGGGGGAGCAAGCGUUGUUCGGAUUUACUGGGCGUAAAGGGCGGGUAGGCGGCCACCGCAAGUCAGUUGUGAAAUCUCUGGGCUUAACCCAGAAAGGUCAACUGAUACUGCGGGGCUAGAGUGCAGAAGGGGCAACUGGAAUUCUCGGUGUAGCGGUGAAAUGCGUAGAUAUCGAGAGGAACACCUGCGGCGAAGGCGGGUUGCUGGGCUGACACUGACGCUGAACUGCGAAAGCUAGGGGAGCAAACGGG